rnacentral:rRNA from 1 species
UACGUAGGAGACGAGCGUUGUCCGGAGUUACUGGGCGUAAAGGGUGCGCAGGCGGCCUGGCGCGUCGCGAGUGAAAUCUCCUGGCUCAACUGGGAGGGUGGUCGCGAGACGGCUGGGCUUGAGGCUCGGUGAGGGGCGUGGAAUUCCGGGUGGAGCGGUGAAAUGCGUAGAGAUCCGGAGGAACACCGACGGCGUAGGCAGCGCCCUAGGCCAGCACUGACGCUCAUGCACGAAAGCGUGGGGAGCAAACAGG